AGGGAGACAGAAAGAGAGGGAGAGAGACAAGCUAACAUCUAAGGGGUCAUUGUUAUUGAAAGACAGCAGUUUGUUUGUGCUGUUGAAAAGGAACACUAUGUUUUCUUUUUAUGGUUCUUAUCAUGUUCCUUUCUAUAUUUACACUUUCAAGCAUGGCACAGCAGAGGAUAACUUGAGCGAACAGUCCCAGGCAUCCAUCCUAUUAAGGCAUCACAUCGGCUCAGCCUUUCUAGAGAGGCAUUGUGAAUAGCAGACAGAGCAUUCUCCACUGUUUUAGUAACAUUUGGCACGCAGUAGGUAUUCAAUGACGCUGGAAGCAAUGGCUUUACCAGAGGUGAAGCAGAUGGCAGUUGAAGUUCAGAUGUCAGUCCACCAGAAGAACAUCUCUCUGAUGGAUAUGUCUCCUUCAAGCAAGGCUUACGAGAAUACAGACUCCAGAAUGCAUGUUUGCUCCUGUUGUCUCUCUGCAUGCUGCUGCUACUGUGUAUAUGGUAUGGAAAUUCCCCCACUUCCUGUGUGUUUAUCACAUGAGAAAACAGAAAUCAUGAAAGUAGACCUAGUCUGUCACAAAUCAUCCUCUGCUCUACUCUACUGAGAGUAAACAAACAAAAAACAGUGAGAAGGUGCUCCUUCAGCAAAAGUGGAUGCCCGACAGCUCACUGGAAGGAAUACUAGAAGUUGAUCAAACUGAUUCGCAGACUCUCAGUGUCCUGCCGGACCAAUCAGGGAAAUUUGUCAAGGGAGCAGGUGGGCUGGUGGGUGGAACUCUUUAAAGAACCACCAUGGAAGACUGGGUUGUGAGGACAGAAAAUCUACUUGUGCUUCCGGGUAGAAGUGUGUGCUGAAGAAAGUCACUCAUGCCCAAGUGGGGCCACUGUGGCAAAGUGCCGUGUAUAGAGUUUUGAGAACCUAAUUGAAAAGCCAGGCGGUGCACAAACAAGACAGAUGUUCCUGCUUUGGAGAACUCUGGAGACAGUGAAGAACAGGGAAUGUAUGGGAGCCUUUCUGCUGCUGCCCUAUGGUUGCAGUAAAAUACAACUGAUUUGUUCAACAAAAGAAUAAUCUGCCUUCAUGAGACUAAGCCAGCAUAGAAGACUAUAUUACAUAUACUGCAUAAACAUAGAAGGUUAUACUACAAGAUAGAGGAGCUAAAAUAAUGACAAGAUAGGGCCCCAAAUCACUUUGAUUAUGGCAGAAAAUUGUGCAGAGGAGAGCACAAUGGAAACCCAACCAUUGAUCCUAUAGAAAAACACUGUGUGUGUGUGUGUGUGUGUGUGUGUGUGUGUGUGUGUGUGUGUGUGUGUGUGCCACACAAAGGACACUGAAUGCCAACUACAGACUCCAGGAGCCACAUGAGGAAUUGGAAGAGGAAUUUUAUUUUCUCCUUUAAUUCUCUUUGUCAUUUGUUGGAGAAACUCGGAGUGGAGGAGGAAGAGAAUACAGAAAGACCGGGGAGGAAUAAUUCACAAAAUAAUUGGUACACUUCUGCUUGUGAUGUGAUUGACAUCUUGACAUUGGGACUGGACCACUUUUUUCUUUAACACUAUCUGAUAUGUUUCAAAAAUGGGAUUGAUAAGAUGUGUUAUGGCAGAAAGGAGAUGAAGGGAGGGAUUGUUUUGAACUUCAUAUGUAAUUGACCUGGUUAGAAAAAGGGGGAAGGUGGAAAUUAAAAUAAAUGAUAAUGCACACACAAUGAAGAAAUCACUGUAGUCUUAAAGAAAUGAACUUUACAGCAGUGUGGUGGCCCAUCAGAGUAGUGAAUUUACACAUUGCAUACAAUAGUUUACCUUAUGUUUUUCAGAAUUCUUUCUCUAAUUAGUCAUUAAAUUGUAUGUCACCUAUCCAUGCUCCUAUUUGAUUGAAGAACACACUUUAGUCAUUUUAAUUAUGAAAUGUCUCUUUUAUACAUAGCAACAAAUCUAAAAACAGCUGACAGAAGUCUUGUGUAUAAUAAUGAGGUUGGCAGAAAUUCUUAAAUGUUCAAUUUCAUAACUAGUUCUGGAAUUUCUGCAAUUAUUCAGGCCUUCCUUUCUCCAGAGUUGCUUCAGAAGGUCAUCAAGUGUCUCUGACAUUUUUUCUGCUAAACUACACCCUCUAAGAAAUUCAUCACAUGCUUAAGCUGCAUUUGUCAGACAUUUCAGAUGACAUGGCUGGAAGACAGACAAUACUGAUUUUGUCUGAUUUACUGAUUUAGAACAAGUAUCCCUGUCUUGGUGACAAUGAUGAAAACAUUCUGAUGUUGACUUUGUGUUAUCUCUGGGAAUGCUAAGCCAUCUUCAUCUUUGUCUUUUCCCCAGUCAGUCCUUUUGAAGUGGUUUAUACUACAACCCCAAGUUUCCCCCAACUGACUUCUUGGGAGCUGGGGAGAAUCUGUUUCUAUUGAAGGGAAAAAAUGAAAUCUAUGUGUGGUGAUAUUUUAAUUGUGCUGAAAUGUGAUUUUAUUUGUAUGUUAAUAAA